UACGUAGGUGGCAAGCGUUAUCCGGAUUUACUGGGCGUAAAGGGAACGCAGGCGGUCUUUUAAGUCUGAUGUGAAAGCCUUCGGCUUAACCGGAGUAGUGCAUUGGAAACUGGGAGACUUGAGUGCAGAAGAGGAGAGUGGAACUCCAUGUGUAGCGGUGAAAUGCGUAGAUAUAUGGAAGAACACUAGUGGCGAAAGCGGCUCCCUGGUCUGUAACUGACGCUGAGGUUCGAAAGCGUGGGUAGCAAACAGG
rnacentral:rRNA from 1 species